rnacentral:rRNA from 1 species
UACGUAGGGUGCGAGCGUUGUCCGGAAUUAUUGGGCGUAAAGAGCUCGUAGGCGGCUUGUCGCGUCGGAUGUGAAAGCCCUUGGCUUAACCGAGGAAGUGCAUCCGAAACUGGCGAGCUAGAGUACGAAAGAGGAUCGCGGAAUUCCCGGUGUAGAGGUGAAAUUCGUAGAUAUCGGGAGGAACACCGGUGGCGAAGGCGGCGAUCUGGGUCGAUACUGACGCUGAGGUGCGAAAGCGUGGGGAGCAAACAGG